UAUGAAAAAUUCCAUCCAUUUGUAUUGUUAAAAACUAGUGUGGCUGAUAGAAUAACCAAAUAGUGACGUGUGAUGUGCCACGUGUACCUUAUGCUAACGUACAAUGACCAAUUUUUAAUAGUAGAAAUGGAUGAAGUUUUUAACA
rfam:Gossypium arboreum cultivar AKA8401 contig_992_7, whole genome shotgun sequence.